GUUUGAGUUUACUGCCUGAUGAUCAGAGCCAGAAGCACAGGUCUCCAGGAAAUGCCAUGACUGGAUAGAGAGCCACACGCUGCUUCCCGUCAUACAUCUACCUGGACCUAACUCAGGAAGAAACAUACGCUUCCUACAUUUUAUCCCAUAAGCAAAGCAACUACUGCAGAACUGUUCAUGGAGAUUUUGUCUUAACUUCAAAAAGUGCUUCUCCUAAUUUAUUUUCUGUUGCACAGUAUCAAGAAGCACCUGUGGAAAAAAAGGAUUCAAAAGAAGAAAACCAUAACCAUCUUACAAGUUUUUGCAUUGCUGAAGACUGACUUCACCCAGACCUACCAACUGGUCCUGAGACCCCCACCCAGGAACCUAUUCAGUGCAGGAGGACAGCUUCAGCUCCCUACGUCUUCAUGUGUGACCCAAUUGAUGAGCACUUCCUUCUUCCUGGCCCCCUACUGACCAAACUAUCCUUUAAAAACCCUAGUCACUGAGUUUCCAGGGAGACUAAUUUGACUAAUAAUAAAACUGGUCUCCCAUUCAGCCAGCUCUGCAUGAAUUAAAUUUUCUCUAUUGCA